rnacentral:lncRNA from 1 species
UCGUUAUCUUAACUCAUUGCCAAAUUGUGGCCUAAUCACCCCUUGUGAUUUAGUCACAUUACAUGUGUUUAAAUGUGAUAACAUAUUUCAUCCUCACUAGCACAACUGAACACAAGUAUGCAUAAAAUUUAUAGGUCAUAACCUACAUCAAUAUGAGCCAAUUCCAUGGCCAUAUACAAGUGAAUAUGUAUACCUUUACAAGCCUUCGUAGUGGCUAAUCAAAUGACACAUAACAAAAUAACAAAAGCUCUAUACAUGUCAUUGAACAAAAUAAGAAUAUCUAUAUACCAAAGCUAGACAAGAUGAUAGUGUGUUGAUUCUCCAACCGUCUCCCAAUCUUCACGAGUCCACGAGCUCUGUAAGACAGGGAAAAAGAGAAGGAUAAGCAUUUACAUGCUUAGUAAGCCCGAACAACUAAAAAGUAAACUUAUUGAUUAAUUAGCAAACAACCAUAUUAGGCAAUAAAACCAACAAGCAUGGAAUGGUUUCCCUAUCAUAUACACCCAAUCAACAAGUUAGUCUCAUAACAAUGCACCAUGCAAUUUGUCUUAGAUGAGCUUAUCAUUCAACAUUUUCAUUUUUAUAUCUCAUGUUAAUCCCGUUGAGUUUCUCAGAAAUCUCGAUGGAUUAUCCAUUUACUGUCAAGUCAUAAGAGUGAUCAUCUCAAGUGCGCACUCCCGCGAACCUCACAUCAUACGACGAGAUUACCAGUUCAGGCUAAAUCUCCCGUAAUGUAAACUCAUAGGGUGAUGUCGGGAUUACCAGUCCAGGCUAAAUCCCUUGUAACGAUAAACACCCGUAAUGAGCUCGAAUCUGAAUUACCAAUCCAGGCUAAAUUCAGACCCUGAUUGGAUUACCUAUCCGGGCUAAAUUCGUAAUGCACACAUAUUCUUCGAGAGGCUCGAUCACUAAAUGAACACCCGUCCGGGCUAGAUCUUUUUUAUAUUUGAGAUCAAAAGAUUACCCGUCUGGGCUAAAUCCUUUUCUGAAACACAUGCAGGAUCUCAAGUCAUGUAAGCCAUGGUUUAUCCAUCAAAUUUCUCUUUUUACUUCAACCAGGACAUUUAUCAUCAUGUCAUUAUUAUUAACAUAUUUCAUGGAUUUUCAUGUCAUUAUUAUACCCAAAUAUCAUGCAUUCAUAACACAUGCAAUUAGCCAUAUUAAUAUUACUUAAAAUUUAUUCGAACUUACCUGGUACUCGUUUCGAUUUUGCAUCUCGGUUAUUCUGAAACCUUUCAUUUUCCUCGAUUGACCUCUGAAAUUUGUUCCUCGAGGUCUAUAAUAAUAAAAAUGAAUCAUUAAUACCUCAUAUUAUUCUUUUUGAGUCUAAAUUUCACCCCAGACAAAAUGAUCAUUUUUCCCCUAACCUUUCACAUUAUUUACAAUUUAGUCCCUAGACUCGUAUGAUGAAAUGCAUGAAUUUUCUACAUUACCCAAGCCUAGCCAAAUGUUCUUUCCUCUUAUGGCAGCCCACAUUUUUCCCUUAUUUCACAUUUCUACCACAUAUUCUGUAAUGCCCCUAACCCGAAUCCGUCACCGGAAUAGAGUUACGGAACAUUACCAGAGUUACCGAUUCAUUUAUCAGAUAUUUCAUUAAUCCGAUAUCUUUUCUUUUCCACGUUCAAGUCUCGUAUUCAAGUCAUCCGGAUCUUUAUAAAGAAAUUUGAUCGUCAUUUUCAUUUAUUUCAUGUUAUAAUACAUUCAACUAAUGCUCUAAACAAAAUUAUCAUUUUACCCCUAAACUUUUAAUUAAUGACGAUUUCAUCCUUAGGUUAAAAUAAAAUAAAAUUAUUGCAAUUUAAUCCUUAUUUUCAGCCGUUAUUCUCACACAAAUUGAUAACCACCAAUGAAUUCUAUAAAAUGUCAGAAUUUUCCAUAAUUUCAACACUUUUCAAUUUAAUCCUUAAAACAUAUUUUUCCCUGAUCUUGAGCUAAAUUAAUAAUUUCAUUCAAUUUUUUAAUUUAAAUAAUAAAAUAAUUCAUUUCAUGCAAAUUGGUCAUUUCUAACUUUUUUUUUACAAAAUUGCCCAUAAAAUUUUACUUUUAUUCAAUUUAGUCCAUGAGCCUAAAACAUACCAAUUAGCCAUGCUAGCUGAAUAUUCAUACAUAUUUUCCUCCUCCUCCUCUCCAUUCCACAUCCUUAAUUUAUAUAACAUGCAACAAGUAACAUUAUCAAUAAUUUCACUAUUUACUUAUGUAUAUUCAAAAUUGUCCAUUUGCGUCAUAAUCACUAAAUUAUUUAUAUCUUAAGCUACAGAACUCGAAAUUAAGAUCCGCUAAUUUUCCAUAAAACUAGACUUACUUAUCUUAUGACCAUAAAAUUUUCAAAAUUUUUGGUUUACCCAAUAAGUACAGUUUAUUCUUUAAAGUUUCUCCUGUUCUGCUGUCUGACAGUUCCGACCCUUCUUCACUAAGAAUUAAUUAUCUCAUCGUACGAGAUUCGGAUGAUGUUCCCGCUUAUUUUUAUUGAAAAUAGGCUCUUUAAGGAUUUUAAACAUAUAAAUUUAAUCCCUUAAUUAUUUUUCUCCAAUUUUUUAUGAUUUUCCAAAGUCAGAAUAGGGGAACCAGAAAUCAUUCUGACAUUGUCUCACAAAACUUAUUAUAUCUCAUGAUUUACAAUUCCGUUGCUUACACCGUUUCUUCUAUAAGAAACUAGACUCGAUAAGAUUUAAUUUCAUAUUUUAUUCAUCCUAUAAUUAAAUUUCUACAAUUUUUGGAGAUUUUUCAAAGUUAAGACUAUUGCUGCUGUCCAAAACUGUUUUAGUGCAAAAUGUUGAUUUUCAUUUUGCCCCAAAUUUCACAGUUCAUACAAUUCAGUCCUUACUUAAUUAACCCCUCAAUUAAAAUAAUUUUCUCAAUUAAUAAUUUUCCUAGACAUUAUAAGUUAUUUCAUAACUAUUGAAAUUCAGAAUUUCCACAUAAAACUCUAACUUCAAACUCUUUUACAAUUUAGGUCUCAAACAUUCACUUUCUAUUCAAUUCUUUCAAUAAAAUCAGCAUAUAAACAAUUUAAAGCUCUAAUUCUAUAUCAAAUCAUCAUAUACUUCCAGCACAUAUUCAUAGAAACUUUCAAUUUAUUUCAUAGAAUCAAGAACUAAUGAAUUCAACAAAUGGACCUAGUUGUAAAAGUCACAAAAACACAAAAAUUUCAAGAAAUAAUCAAGAAUUAAACUUAAUUGCAGUAAAAAUAUGAAAAACCAGCUUAAGGGAACUCUUCCAUGGUGUUUUUGUUGAUGAGAAUGCAGAAAAAUAAAGAGAAAUCUAGAUAAUUCCACUUUAGUCCUAGCUUUAUUAACUAAAUUUUGCAAUUUUUCAAUUUUGCCCUUAUUUUCUUGGUGAUUUCAUGCCCUUGCCGUCCAGCCCAAAUAGACCUUGGGUCUAUUUGCCUUUUAAACCCUCUUUCUUUUGUCAUUUAAGCUAUUUAAUCAUUUUUCACAAUUUUGCAUUUGAUACAAUUUAGUCCUUUUUGUUCAAUUAGCUAUCAGUACUUUAAAAUUUCUUGACGAAACUUUAAUACUAACUUAUUAACAAUCCAUAAAUAUUUAUAAAAAUAUUUAUGGCUCGAUUUAAAAUUCUCGAGGUCUCGAUACCUCGUUUUCAAUUCUAAUUAUUUUAAUAUAUAUAUUUUUUGUACAUUUCAUUAUUUCAAAAUUUUUCCUAACUUCACAUUUAACUUAUACUCACUAAAUUAAUAAUAUUUCUUACUCAUUUGUCGGAUUUAGUGAUCUCGAAUCACUGUUCCGACACCACUGAAAAUUAACUGUUACAUAUUUUACACCUUUUGCAAAAAGGUCAUUUUAGGGGUUUUUCAUGAAAAUCACCUAGAAAAAUAUGUUUAUCACACAUCCAACUUUCAUAUUCCUCCAUAAAAAUCAAACAAUAAACAUGUCACACAUGGAUCACUUUUCAAACAUGAACCCUAACUCAAAAUAGGGGUAGAAAUAGACAGAGUAAGCUACCGGAAUUUCAAAAAUACGAGAACAUUAAAAACAAGGGUAGGGAGCCCUUACUAUUAAGCUUGAAAAAUGAAAAAACCCUAACUAUGGUGGCUCCCAAAUUUUUGCAGCUAGGUGGAGAACAUGAGCCGAUUUUUGUCUUCAUUUUCCCAUUUUAUUUCAUUAAUUAGCCAAAUGACCAAAAUACCUUUAAGCCCUUUCUUUGAAAUUUUAUCCAUACAUGCCCAUUUUUGUUCAAAAAUUUAAAAAUUGGGCAAAUUACUCUUUAAGAAUCUAAGUUUUGUAAUUUUUUCAAUUUGGUCAUUAUUUUCCAAUUGGACACCUUACUCAUAGAAUUUCUUCAUGAAACUUUAACACUGCAUAUUUUCAUAUUCUAGACCUCAUAAUAAUCAUAUAAUAAAUAUUUGAACAUCGAAUUUGUGGUCUCAAAACCACUGUUCCGACUAGGCCUUAUUUUGGGAUGUUACAAUUUGGGGCGAAAUUUUAAUAAUGUCAAUUCAAUAUUAGGCUUUUUUUUGGAAGGAUCAUCAAAUUAAAGGGAGGCAAAAAAGGGGAGAGCUUCAAAUGGGUUAAGUCAAAAUGAAAUGGAACAUGAUUUAGAAGAAAGCCCAAUGGUAAUGGGGAUGGAUAAAACUAACCUCAUCCAAAUAAUAUGAUUUCUAAUGUUUCUGUUUGGACAGAUUUACUAGGAACUAUUACUGAGCACUCUAAUGCUUACAACCAAUUAAGAUCGACGCCUGCCAAGAGGCAAGUCGACUGGGAGCAAUGAUACUUUUAAGCUACAAUGUCUGGGGUUUGGGGAACCCGCAGGCUAUUCCAAAGCUUCAGCACACGUUGAAGUUUUAGCAUCCCCAACUUGUCUUCUUUAUGUAGACUAAAUUAAAUAGCAAAUAAAUGGAAAGGUUUCAUAAAAAAUGAGGUUUUCAAAACAAAAUUAAUUUCAAGAAGAUGGUAACGAGGUGGACUAUGUUUAACAUGGAAUUGGAAUUAUAUAAUUGAUGUUCGAAGUUAUUCAAUGAAUCAUAUUGAUGUGAUAAUACAGGAAGAGGGGGAGGCACUAAAGUAUGGGGGUUUUAUGAGGCUCGAGAUGGUUAUAAUAGAUUGGUAACUUGGGACUUGUUGCGAUGGCUAGGAGAAACUCAUGAUUUACCUCGGUUAGUUUGUAGAGAUUUUAAUAAGAUUUUGUAUUCUUUUUAGAAAUCAAGGGGAAUGCCGAGAGAAGAGAGGAGUAUAGAGGAAUUCCAUAAGGUGUUAGAGGAAUGUCAACUUACGGAUAUUGGCUAUUUAAGUACAUGGUCACUUGGUAGAGGGGAAAUUUACCGGAGAUGAAUACUAGAGAACGAUUGGAUAAGGGUGUGGCAAAUGCUGAAUGGAUGGUGAUGUUCACUAAUUUUUCUAUUUGACAUUUACUCUAUUCUUUUUUAGAUCAUUGUCCUCUUUUCAUUGAAACAAAUAAAAUAGACAAAAGACAAAGGAAAAGAAUAUUCAGAUUUAAGAAUUGAUGGGUUAUGAAGGAAUCUUGUGAAGAGGAAAUGAGAAGAAUAUGAGAGAAUGGCACAGGUGGGGUGUUGGAGAAAUUAAAGAUGUUAAAAAUAGGAUUACAAGAAUAGGAUACAUAAAAAAAACAAAGGAGUGAGGCUGACAAGAAAUCUUACUAAAAGGUUGGAGGAUCUGAAUAAGCUUGAUAGAGACGGUGAGAUAAUGGCAGAAUUGAUUGAUGUCAAAAUACACCAUCAUAUGAAUAUCAAAAAAGAAGAGAUGUACUGGGAACAAAGGGCACUUACGAACUGCUAAGAUUGGGUGAUAAAAACACGUCUUUUUUCCUUAAUUUUGAUUCUCAAUGAAGGAAUAUGAAUCGUGUUCGUGGAUUUUAGAAUGAAGAAGGAGAAUGACAUCAGACAUUCAUGAGAUGAAAAGAAUUGUUACUGAUUAUUUUGCUAACCUUUUCACUACAACAGGUACUGGCAAUGUGGAUUACAUUCUAUCUGGAGUGGAUAUAUGUAUAAUAGAUAGCAUGAAUUAGAUCCUAACUACUGUAUACAGAAAGAAUGAGGUUUAUCUGGCUUUAAAAAAUAUGGGGCCAACGAAGGCAUCAAGGGUAGAAGGUUUUCUGACUCUUUUCUUCCAAAAACUUUGGCACAUUAUUGGAAGGGAAGUUUGUACUUUUUGUCUUGAAAUCCUUAAUUUAGUUAUUGGAAUCUCUAAAUGUUACAAAUAUUGUGCUAAUUUCAAAUAUUAGUCAUCUUUCGAAUUUAAUGAAUUUUCGCCCUAUAAGCUUAUGAAUGAUUUUGUACAAAUGAUCUAAAAAAUGGUUGCCAAUCAUCUUUAAAAGGUGUUAGAUCACUGCAUUGAUGAAACGCAGAGUGCAUUUUUCCCAAGAAGAUUAAUAACGGACAAUGUUCUUCUUGCAUACGAGAUUUUACAUGCAUUUAAGCAAAAAAGGGUAGGGAGGAGAGGUUUUAUGACAUUGAAACUGGAUAUGAGUAUGGCUUAUGAUCGUGUUGAAUAGACUUUUAUAAGAGAUAUGAUGUUAUGCAUGGAUUUUGCAAACUCGUGGGUUUAUUUCAUAAUCAAAUGCAUAAGUAUUGUCUCAUACUCAAUUCUUGUGAACAGCGAAGAAGAAUAUGUUUUCAAAUCGGUAAGAGGAUUACGACAGAGGGACUCGUUGAGUCCCUAUUUUUUCAUCUCUAAUGAGACUAGCAAAACAUUAUGGUUCAUUAAACAGGGAAAAGGUAUGUCGAAGAGGUCCUUAAAUUUCUCAUUUAAUGUUUGUCGAUGAUUGUAUUUUGUUCAAGGAAGCCAUUGAAAGGGGGGCAAAUACUAUCAAGAAUAUACUUGAAGAAUAUAGAAGAUGUUUUGGGCAGUGUGUCAAUUAUGAAAAAGCUAGAUGUUUUGGGCAGUGUGUCAAUUAUGAAAAAUGUACUAUUUUUUAUAGUACAAAAGCUCCAGUUUAUGACAGAAAUUUUGUUGUAUGGAUACUAAAUGUUUGAGGGUUAAAAAAUCUAGAGAAAUAUGUCUAAUUGCCCAACAUGAUGGGAAGGGGAAAACAAUGAGCUUUUCAAAUAUUGAAGGACCGUAUGAAAUCAGAAAUUUAUAGUUAGAGGAAAGGAGGUAUUUAUAAAAGUUGUUUUACAGGCCAUCCCAACUUAUUCAAUGGCAUGUUUUCUACUACCAAAAUCCAUUUGUGGAGAAAUGGAAAGUAUUAUAGGGAAGUUUUUGUGGCAGAAAGGACACAAAAAGCAUGGAAUACACUAGUAUGAGUGGAUUCGAUUAUGUGACUUAAAGGAGAAUGGGGGUUUGGGGUUUAGGAGUCUAACCAAGUUUAAUUUAGCUUUGCAUACAAAACAAGGGUAAUUUGAAAGCAAAAUACUACCUUACUAUUAAUUUCUUAAAGGCAAGGUUUGGAAAUAUACCUUCCUACACCUAAAAAAGUGUAUGGGCUGCAAAAAGACUUCACAAUGAGGGUAUGUGUUGGAGAAUGGGUACGGGGACAAAAAUCUCGAUGUCAGAAGAUACGUGGGUGUUGGGCACUGAAAGCUAAAAAAUCCAAAGUGAUGUGAGCAAUACUAACAUCAAUGUAGUAGCAGACUUAAUUGAUCCUAUUUUGAGACGAUGGAAAAUGGAAACAAUAAGGGAUACCUACUGUGAGAGUGAUGUGAACAGAAUCCUCCAAAUUACUUUAGCAAUGUUUUUAGAAGAGGACUUCAUGGUGUGGAGAGGUGAACCUUCAAGAGAUUUUUCGUCCAAAUUACUGUGAGAGUGAUGGUACUUAAUCGCUAUUGCAAUCUAUUUGCCUAUUCUACUUUUUACUAGAAAUGAUGGGCUUUGAAUUUGCCUCAAAAAGUGAAAAUCACAUUUUGGAAAGCUACAAAAAAUUAUCUUCCUACUUUUAGUAAUUUCCAUUACAAGAGAUUGGUGGACUCUGUGAUUUGCCCGAGAUGUACAGGUGGUGCAGAGACUAUGGAGCAUGUAUUGCGUGAUUGUUCUGUGGCAAGAGAGAUUUGGCAACAAUUUAAUUUCAUAUGGCCAUAGUCGAUAACUAAUUCAAAGUUUAUAGACUAGAUUACCUGCAAUUUUUUAUCAGAACUCUACCAACCAGUGUCGAAUUUUUUAAUGUACAAUGUGCGCCACAUGGACCGAAAGAAAUAGAUAGGUGUAUGAGGGCCAGAAAAAGAUGAGGAUUGCUACAACUGAGUUUAUUAGAAGUUACCCUUAAAAGAUUGAUGGCCUGGAAAGAAAGGAAAAUGACCAUGGAAGGGGGUAAGAAUGAUGGAAAACGCCGGUAGUCCUAUACACGAAGAUUAAUUUUGACGCUGCAUAUACUGAACAAGCCAAAAAGUCAUUCACGAGUAUUAUUAUAUGAGAUUUGAAUGGUGAGGUGCCGGGAGCAAAGAUACAGAUCAACAGUAAUAUACCUACAGCUUUCACAACAGAAGCCAUUGCAUGUUUUCAAGCAACCAAAAUGGGUUUGGAUCUGAACCUUUCAAUGGUAAAAAUUGAGGGAGACUCGUUGUUAGUGAUCAAAAAAAUCAAAAAUUGAUUGGCAGAUAAGUCAUAAAUUGGAGCCUACAUGAAAGACAUACGAAAAUUCAGUGAGGAUUACCAGAACUGUGUCUUCAAGCAUGUUUCAAGAAUAGCAAAUAAAGGAGCCCAUUUGCUAGCAAUUGUAGGAAUCAAAGAGGAACAAUAAACUUACUUGGUUUUGAAGUGCCUGACAGUGUGAGGGUGAUAAUUGAAGAAGAUCAGAAGUGGAUACCUAAGACCACAUGAAAUGAUGAAAAGGAAAUGACGACUGAGAAGGGGAAGAAUAGGGAAAGUCUUAAUAGUGUCUGUUUGCCAAAUAGCAAUUAACUUUUUUUAGAUAUCUUUUGUUAUU